rnacentral:rRNA from 1 species
GUGACAAGAAAUAACAACUCUCAACAUUGUUGAGAAGUGUAAUGAGGAUAAUUUACAAACCUUACCGAAAGCAAUUGGAGGGCAAGUCUGGUGCCAGCAGCCGCGGUAAUUCCAGCUCCAAAAGCGUAUAUUAAAGUUGUUGCAGUUAAAAAGCUCGUAGUUGAAGUUCUGGCUGUAUUGGGCCUCUGCACUUGAUGCGAAGGAACCAGCAGUCAUCCGCUUGCAAAUACAUGUUCUUCCUUAACCGGUAGACUGUAUAAGUAAGCAAUUUACCUUGAGAAAAACAGAGUGUUCCAGGCAGGUUUGUCCGGAAUGCAUUAGCAUGGAAUAAUAGAAUAUGACUAGAGUCGAUUUGUUGGUUAAAGGCUUUAGUAAUGAUUAAUAGGAACAAUCGGGGGCAUUGGUACUCGUCAGUCAGAGGUGAAAUUCUAAGAUUUGACGAAGACUAACUGAUGCGAAAGCGUUUGCCAAGAAUGUUUUCAUUAAUCAAGAACGAAAGUUAGGG